GACGAACCGUGCGAACGUUAUUCGGAAUCAUUGGGCUUAAAGGGCGCGUAGGCGGCCAACUAAGUCAAACGUGAAAUCCCUCGGCUUAACCGGGGAACUGCGUCUGAUACUGGAUGGCUUGAGUUUGGGAGAGGGAUGCGGAAUUCCAGGUGUAGCGGUGAAAUGCGUAGAUAUCUGGAGGAACACCGGUGGCGAAGGCGGCAUCCUGGACCAACACUGACGCUGAGGAGCGAAAGCCAGGGGAGCAAACGGG
rnacentral:rRNA from 1 species